rnacentral:rRNA from 1 species
AGAGUUUGAUCMUGGCUCAGGAUGAACGCUGACAGAAUGCUUAACACAUGCAAAUCUAUGUUAAUUAUGUAAGCUUGCUUAGAUAAGAGACAUGGUGGACUGGUGAGUAACGUGUAAAGAACUUACCUCUUAGACUGGGAUAACCAUUAGAAAUGAUGGAUAAUACUAGAUAUUAUUAGAAGUGGGCAUCUACUUUUAAUGAAAGGAGAGAUUGCUAAGAGAGAGCUUUGCAUCCUAUUAGCUAGUUGGUGGGGUAAAGGCCUACCAAGGCGAUGAUAGGUAGCCGGCCCGAGAGGGUGAACGGCCACAAGGGGACUGAGAUACGGCCCUUACUCCUACGGGAGGCAGCAGUGGGGAAUAUUGGACAAUGGAGGAAACUCUGAUCCAGCAAUUCUGUGUGCACGAAGAAGGUUUUCGGAUUGUAAAGUGCUUUCAGUAGGGAAGAAGAAAGUGACGGUACCUACAGAAGAAGCGACGGCUAAAUACGUGCCAGCAGCCGCGGUAAUACGUAUGUCGCAAGCGUUAUCCGGAAUUAUUGGGCUUAAAGGGCAUCUAGGCGGUCUAACAAGUUGAAGGUGAAAAGCUGUGGCUCAACCAUAGUCUUGCCUACAAAACUGUCAGACUAGAGUACUGGAAAGGUGGGUGGAACUACACGAGUAGAGGUGAAAUUCGUAGAUAUGUGUAGGAAUGCCGAUGAUGAAGAUAACUCACUGGACAGAAACUGACGCUGAAGUGCGAAAGCUAGGGGAGCAAACAGGAUUAGAUACCCUGGUAGUCCUAGCUGUAAACGAUGAUCACUGGGUGUGGGGGUAUAAGCCUCUGUGCCGAAGCAAAAGCGAUAAGUGAUCCGCCUGGGGAGUACGUACGCAAGUAUGAAACUCAAAGGAAUUGACGGGGACCCGCACAAGUGGUGGAGCAUGUGGUUUAAUUCGACGCAACGCGAGGAACCUUACCAGAUCUUGACAUACUCGGAAUAAGAUGGAAGCAUCUUAGUGCCUUCGGGAACCGAGAUACAGGUGGUGCAUGGCUGUCGACAGCUCGUGUCGUGAGAUGUUGGGUUAAGUCCCGCAACGAGCGAAACCCCUAUCAUUAGUUGCCAUCAUUAAGUUGGGGACUCUAAUGAAACUGCCCGCGACGAGCGGGAGGAAGGUGGGGAUGACGUCAGUCAUCMUGCCCCUUAU